AUUACAUAGAGCUAAAUUACAACUCAACUAUGCACAGGAUUCGGUUUAACAUUUCACCCCCUAAUCCUGCUGCACUUUGACGACUCCUAACUUUCCUCGCAGUUCUUCAAACUUGACGCGUCCCAGAGCUUUAGUCAGGAUAUCUGCUAAUUGUUCAGCCGUACCAACAUGGUCGAUCUCCACUUCUCCUCUCUCAACACACUCACGGAUGAAAUGGAGCCUCACCUUCGGUGUUUGUAUGCCGAGCAAUCCACCCAGAAGCCUGCUAAGCCAGAUACCCUGACAAGCUGCAUUGGCACUAGCAAUAUAUUCUGCCUCACAUGAUGAUAAGGCAACAACUCUUUGCUUCUGAGAGCACCAAGUCACCAGGCUUGACCCUAACAUGAAGACUGAACCACCUGUGCUUUUCCUGUCAUCAAUGUCAGCUAGAUCACUAUUACAGUAGCCGGUCAAUUUAUUUUCAGACUUGUUCAGCUUCUUGUACACACAGCCAUAACUUACAGUUCCUGCCAAAUACCUUAGUAUCUGCUU